rnacentral:rRNA from 1 species
GACGAACGCUGGCGGCGUGCCUAAUACAUGCAAGUCGAGCGGACUUUCAAGAAGCUUGCUUUUUGAAAGUUAGCGGCGGACGGGUGAGUAACACGUGGGCAACCUGCCUGCAAGACGGGGAUAACUCCGGGAAACCGGGGCUAAUACCGGAUAAUAUCUUCCUUCGCAUGAAGGAAGGUUGAAAGGCGGCGCAAGCUGCCGCUUGCAGAUGGGCCCGCGGCGCAUUAGCUAGUUGGUGAGGUAACGGCUCACCAAGGCGACGAUGCGUAGCCGACCUGAGAGGGUGAUCGGCCACUCUGGGACUGAGACACGGCCCAGACUCCUACGGGAGGCAGCAGUAGGGAAUCUUCCGCAAUGGACGAAAGUCUGACGGAGCAACGCCGCGUGAGCGAAGAAGGUCUUCGGAUCGUAAAGCUCUGUUGUCAGGGAAGAACAAGUACCGUUCGAACAGGGCGGUACCUUGACGGUACCUGACCAGAAAGCCACGGCUAACUACGUG